AGCAGCCGCGGUAAUUCCAGCUCCAAUAGCGUAUAUUAAAGUUGUUGCAGUUAAAAAGCUCGUAGUUGAAUUUCGGGAUUGGCGCAUCGGUCGUGCCUUACGGGGUAUGAACUGGUGCAGUCAAUUUCUCACCUUCUGGAGAACCGCGAUGUCCUUAAUUGGGUGCCGCGGGGAACCAGGACCUUUACUUUGAAAAAAUUAGAGUGUUUAAAGCAGGCAUUUUUGCUUGAAUACAUUAGCAUGGAAUAAUAAAAUAGGACGGCAUGGUUCUAUUUUGUUGGUUUCUAGGACCACCGUAAUGAUUAAUAGGGAUAGUUGGGGGCAUUAGUAUUCAAUUGUCAGAGGUGAAAUUCUUGGAUUUAUUGAAGACUAACUACUGCGAAAGCAUUUGCCAAGGAUGUUUUCAUUAAUCAAGAACGAAAGUUAGGGGAUCGAAGACGAUCGGAUACCGUCGUAGUCUUAACCAUAAACUAUGCCGACUAGGAAUCAGACGAUGUUAAUUUUUUAAUGACUCGUUUGG
rnacentral:rRNA from 1 species